CCUACGGGUGGCAGCAGUGAGGAAUAUUGGUCAAUGGGCGCGAGCCUGAACCAGCCAAGUAGCGUGAAGGAUGACUGCCCUACGGGUUGUAAACUUCUUUUAUAAAGGAAUAAAGUGAGGCACGUGUGCCUUUUUGUAUGUACUUUAUGAAUAAGGAUCGGCUAACUCCGUGCCAGCAGCCGCGGUAAUACGGAGGAUCCGAGCGUUAUCCGGACUGAUUGGGGUUAAAGGGAGCGUAGAUGGGUUGUUAAGUCAGUUGUGAAAGUUUGCGGCUCAACCGUAAAAUUGCAAUUGAUACUGGCAGUCUUGAGUACAGUUGAGGUAGGUGGAAGUCGAGGUGUAGUGGUGAAAUGCUUAGAUAUCACGAAGAACUCCGAUUGCGAAGGCAGCUUACUAAACUGCCACUGACAUUGAUGCUCGAAAGUGUGGGUAUCAAACAGGAUUAGAUACCCUUGUAGUC
rnacentral:rRNA from 1 species